rnacentral:piRNA from 1 species
UUGCACUAAAACAUUCGUAUA